rnacentral:rRNA from 1 species
UACAGAGGGGGCAAGCGUUGUUCGGAAUUACUGGGCGUAAAGGGCGCGUAGGCGGCCUUCUAAGUCGAACGUGAAAUCCCCGGGCUCAACCCGGGAACUGCGUCCGAUACUGGAAGGCUUGAAUCCGGGAGAGGGAUGCGGAAUUCCAGGUGUAGCGGUGAAAUGCGUAGAUAUCUGGAGGAACACCGGUGGCGAAGGCGGCAUCCUGGACUGGUAUUGACGCUGAGGCGCGAAAGCCAGGGGAGCAAACGGG